AUGGCGCGCCGCGGCCUGCUGACCACCCGGGCGUACGGCUCCUUCCUGCGCGACCACAUCCCCGCCGAGCUCUCCAGCCCGGCGCCGACGGUGCUCUACUCCUACUCGCAUGCCGCCACGGGCUUCGCGGCGCGCCUCACGGGACGCCAGGCUGCGCACCUCGCGUCCUCGGCCUCCGUGCUCGCCGUCGUGCCCGACGCCAUGCUGGAGCUGCACACCACCCUCACGUCGUCAUCGGGGUCAUCGACACCGGCGUGUACCCGGAAGGCCGGGCGUCUUUCGCCGCCGAUCCGUCGCUGCCGCCCCUGCCGCCCGGCAAGUUCCGCGGCGGCUCGUCGGCGCCAAGUUCUUCCACAAGGGCCAGGAGGCUGCGCGCGGCCGUGCGUCGGCGAGGACUCCGAGUUGCCGCUUGACACCAGCGGCCAUGGCACCCACACCGCCUCGACCGCCGCCGGCUCUGCUGCUGCCGACGCAGGCUUCUACGGCUAUGGCAGAGGAAAAGCCGUCGGCAUGGCCCCGGACGCGCACAUUGCCGUCUAUAAGGCGUGCUGGGAGGAAGGGUGCCCGAGCUCUGACACCCUCGCCGCGUUUGAUGAGGCCAUCGCGGACGGCGUCGACGUUAUCUCUGCGUUGCUCAGUGCCGACGGCAAGGCCCCUGACUUCUACGCCGAUAUCAUCGCCGUGGGCGCGUUCCGGGCCGUCAGCAAAGGCAUACUCGUCUCCGCCUCCGCGGGAAACUCCGGCCCUGAAGAAUACACCGCCGCCAACAUAGCGCCGUGGUUUUUGACGGUGGGCGCGUCCACGCUCAACCGCCAGUUCCGGGCAGACGCCGUUCUCGGCAACGGCAAGACCUUCACGGGCACUUAUCUCUAG
rnacentral:rRNA from 1 species